GCAGCACCUCACACAGCUGCAUCACCUGUCACAACAACAACAACAUCAGGAACUUAUAAGGCAGUGAAUGGAUGAGUAUGGAAAGAGACAUACUUAAGAAAAUAUGGAAAAUUGAAAUCAGAACAAAGAAUCCACAACAGUGAACCUGCCGCCCCACCUGUUGUCCGUCCAGCUCCAGGGCCACCACCAGCUUGUUGAGGGACUGGGCAAGCUCCGGCAGCGUGUCGCAGAUCAUCUCCACCACGGGACUCAGGAUCUCUGUGGUGGCCUCCUCCAAGGACGUCACCUGGAUCUCGAAGGACUCCAGUCGCCUCUUGGUGAGCACAGCCCGUACGUAGGACACCAGCCGGGUCACCUGACGACGACGCAACACUUGAGACAUGGAGGUGAAGAAGGACUCCUGCCGGUCCCUGGAGGUGCCAUCAAAGUCCAGCAGCACCUCCACGCCCUCCAGUAGGCAGUCCGGGGAAUAGAGGAGCCGCCCCCAGUCCUCCAGCUCCGGGGAAUUGGUCUGAAUCAC